UGAUGGAUAGAGGCGGAUUCGAGGGAAGAAACGUGAAUUGCUUACGAGGUCGAAGACAGGAUCUCGGCCGGCGGAUGGCGAGGAGUGUUCCCAUGGCGGCCACCUCCUCCAACUCGCACAUCCGACUCGCUGCGCUCCACUCGCCACUCUCCUCCAUCGCCGCCGCCGCCCGGUUCGCUCCCAGCAGUCUCAGCUCCGCCCCACGCCCUAUACAUCUGGAACAUUUGUUUGGAAUAACAACUUCUAGAUUGGUAAGAAAAGCAAAUUGUAUAAAAGCCAGUGUCUCCGGCAACACGACGCAAGCAAGCACUGUUGAUAAAGAAAGCGCUUUUGAGUGGGUGAAAACGGAUAAUCGGAGAAUGCUUCAUGUUGUUUAUCGUGUUGGUGACUUGGAAAGGACAAUAAAAUUCUACACAGAAUGCUUGGGAAUGAAGUUGUUGCGGAAACGUGACAUUCCUGAGGAGAAGUACACUAAUGCCUUCCUUGGAUAUGGACCCGAAGACUCACAUUUUGUUGUUGAACUUACUUACAACUAUGGAGUUGACAAGUACGAUAUUGGAACUGGUUUUGGACACUUUGGUGUUGCAGUUGAAGAUGUUGCCAAGACAGUGGAUCUUAUAAAAGCUAAAGGAGGAAAGGUAACCAGGGAACCUGGCCCUGUAAAAGGUGGCAGAAGUGUGAUUGCUUUUAUCGAAGAUCCUGAUGGUUAUAAGUUUGAGCUUUUGGAAAGGGGCCCAACACCAGAACCCUUGUGUCAAGUGAUGCUUCGUGUAGGAGAUCUUGAUCGUUCCAUAAAUUUCUAUGAGAAGGCAUUUGGUAUGGAGCUUCUUCGCAAAAGAGACAAUCCUGAAUAUAAGUACACUAUAGCGAUGAUGGGAUACGGUCCUGAAGAUACAAACACUGUUUUGGAGUUGACCUACAACUAUGGAGUUACAGAAUAUGACAAAGGGAAUGCCUUCGCACAGAUUGCAAUUGGCACGGAUGAUGUUUACAAGACAGCAGAGGCCAUAAAACUGCAUGGAGGAACGAUCACCCGUGAACCAGGCCCCUUACCUGUCAUUAAUACUAAGAUAACUGCCUGCUUGGAUCCAGAUGGUUGGAAAACUGUAUGAAAGUACAAUCUUUUAGGAUGAUGAAGGAUAACAUUCUGUAAAGGUUAACCAACACACUGUCUUUGUUGACAAUGUAGAUUUUGUUAAAGAGCUGGAGUAUUAAGCCCUUGUUAUCGGACCUACAUCUCAAGGAGCAUCAGUUACUGGACGACAACGGCUGGCUGUCGCCUAACUAAUCUUGUAAAAGACCUACAUCAGAUCUCAGUUUGUAUAUAAAUUGUUUUGCCCACCAUGUUAACGGAAGUACUAAGAUAUGAAUUUCGCACUGCAUCGGAGUUUUGAUA